GACGGAGGGUGCGAGCGUUAUUCGGAAUCAUUGGGCGUAAAGAGCGUGUAGGCGGCCGGUUAAGUCAGGUGUGAAAGCCCGGGGCUCAACCUCGGAAGUGCACUUGAAACUGGUCGGCUUGAGUUCGGGAGAGGGAAGCGGAAUUCCUGGUGUAGAGGUGAAAUUCGUAGAUAUCAGGAGGAACACCGGUGGCGAAGGCGGCUUCCGGGACCGAAACUGACGUUGAGACGCGAAAGCGUGGGGAGCAAACAGG
rnacentral:rRNA from 1 species